rnacentral:lncRNA from 1 species
UUAUAGUAAGAUAGAGAUUGAUGGCAUGUGACAAGAAGCCCUUGCUAGGUACACCAUUGAGAAGAGAGGCAGAGGGAUGAGGUUGAAGAAUCACCACCCUGUUUUGAUCAUACAAUUGUUGUUCCCCGCAAAUUAUUAUCCAUAUUAAAGUUUAAGAAAACAAUUUGAUCCACUUCUAUAUUAAUUACCUUCAAUAAAAUCAUAACCAAAUCAACUAUUAAAAUUUGUUUUUUUUUUCCAAUUUUGGCAAUUGUUUUGAGAUAUCACAGAAAUUAUCCAGAAAAGCACCAAGUGGGAAUCUUUUUUCUUAAAACCAAAUUUGUCUAAUAAACAUUCCUCCGGCGUAAGAAUUUCCGAUGCUGAGUCACGACUCACGACCAGACCCUCCCAGCACGUCAAGAACACAAGGGAUUGGCAAUUAUAUUAAAUUAGGAAUUAGCCUCUUGAGGUUAUUUAAUCAUAAUUUACCCCUGUUCUUUUGCAUCUUAAGUACAUUGCUUUUCCUAUGUUGUCAUUAGGCAUAUACUUGCUCGUUUACUUGCACCCAAAAAAAAAAAAAAAGUUUACUUGCAAGACUGACCGGGGAAACAAGAAAGCUAUAAAUUAUAAUCCACUAAACAAAAAUCUUGCAUUUAUAUAAAUAAAUAAAUUUAUUGAUGCAUAUUAGUCGCUGUAAUUCUUCAAUUAUCCAAGCCCAAGAAUUAAUAUGAACAAGGAGGAGGAGGGUAUAAGGCCAGAGGCACCGAAACCAUUUGGAUGAUAUUUAAUUUGGUACGUAACCCAAUCCGUAGUGUAAGGAAUUGUUGAAGAACGUGAAAACAAAAAAAAUAAUAAUAAUAAGAAGGAGAGACAUAUUUAAAAAUGAAAACAAAUGGGAAGAAAGUAAAGAUCGCGCUUUUUUUUUUUCAAGAGACCAGUUGAAAUUUUGUUCACACCGUUUAGCACUGCUGGAUUUGAUGGUGGAAGAAACUAAAAUUAUUAAUAAAGACUACUUUGUGUUCGAGAAAAAGGAAAAGGACUAAAUGAGAAAAAAUAUGAGAUGGGCGAAUAAAGAUACUUUACAUAAGGUGAAAUUUUUUUAUGCACUGCCAGUGUAUAUAUAAGUUAUAUUGGAUAUAUGCUACAUAAUUUAAUUUUAAAUUUGAAAUUCAGUUUUUUCAAAGGUAGCAUACAUCUACAACUGCUAGUGUAAAAAAUAUUUACACUAACAGUGUACAAAAACUUAAUUCAUUAUUUGCCAAGCUCUUUUUUUUUUUGGUAUCCAAAUUAUUUGAUUUGUCAACAAUUAUACAGAAUUGAUAAAAAUUUGAAAAUGUUAGGUCUAAAUAUGUCUUCAAGGAAACUUUAAAGAUGAAAAUGGUUCAAACCCCAUGACAUUUGUUAUUCCCAUUUGACAAAUUUUCAAUUGGUUUGGUGAUUUUCUAUCAAACAUUUUGUAUUAUUUUAAAUUGCAAAAAAGAGAAAUUUGGCAUAACUAAUAGUAAGUUUUUGCACAAAACAAAUAACUUUUAUUAGUUAUUGUAACUUGCUAUUUAACUAUUAAAUCUUACUAGAUUUUUUAGCAAAAAUUACCAUUUUUUCCCAAAACUUAUUAUUAUUUUUAUAUAAAGCAUACGAUUUCUCAAGAAAAACUUAUGACUUCAUUAACAAAUCUUACCACUUUUUUAGUAAAAUUUCCUAUAUCAUUAACAAAACCUUUCUAUUUUUCAAAAGAAACUUCCCAUUUUUUUUCACAAAACUUGCUACUUUUUCAAACAAAAUUUAUGACUUUGCUAAUAAAUUUUAACAUUUGUUCAUGUACAAUAUACCAGUAAAGAUCUAAAUAAUGAUAAGAUUGAUUACUACUGCCAAAUGGGAAUUGGCUAGAGACUUGAAUAGAACUGAAUAAAAACAGCUGCAGUAAAGAUGAAUAAAUACCAAGAAGAUGCACCAUUGGAUGUUUUUUGUUACCGGAUAUUUGAUAAAGCUAGCUCGGAUGGGUGGUUCAUUUAAAUGCUAGUAGAAAUUGCUGAUAAAGACGACUACCUAAAAGUCUUCAUGGAAAGUUGACCACUUGCUUUGGAGCGAUGUAUAAAUUUUGUUUUUCAUCAGAAUUAUCACUAUGAACUAGUCCAUCGAUGACUUGGUAUCGGGACAGUUGUCAGAUUAACCAUCUUGAACGGUUUUUGUUAAAUAUUAAUAUUAAUAAAUUUAUAAUAUAUAUUAUAUAAAUAUAAUUAUAUUUAACUAAAUAAUUAUAAUAUAUAUUUAUAUAAUAUACUAUAAUUAUAAUAUAUUAUAUAUAUGUAUAUUUAUAAUAUAAAUAUAUAAUAUAUAUAUAAAUAUUAAUUAUACUAAAUAUUAUGUAAUUAUAAGAUUUGGGAAUCACACUUUGGGUUUUGGACAAAACCGACCAACUUACUAAGGAAUGGUGAAAUGCUAAAUUUUUAGACAUCAUUCCAAAAUUAUCGGAGUAGUGAAUCAAACAUGAAUCAUGGGGUUUAUUCAAAUUUUUCAUUCCGAAACUCUUUUACCAAACGCCGCCUAAAUAAUAAGUUAGGUAGUCAAUGAAAGUCCCCAUACGGUCAAUGUUUUAAAACUCGGACCGUUAAAUGAACCGGUGAAGUAAAAGGGUCGAGGUUCAACCGAUCGGACCGGUUCAACCCCGGUUCAAUAAAUAAAUAAAUAAAUAAAUUAUAUAUAUAUACACACAUAUACCUAUGCACAGAAAAUAAUCCUAGUCUUGUAAUAAUUGCCAAAACUAAAAUAUACACCUAGUGUUAAUAAUGGUUAACAUUUUCUUUCUUCUCAAACUUCUACCUAAAAUCCAAGACCAGAAAUUCCCUUCAUGUUGAAUCAUAAGUAAAUUACAGGUAAAUACCAAGAACUAUUAGCAAAAUUCAAGGUAGAGUUAAUACCCAAAGAAACAAGAACAAAAACAAACAGCCAGGUAGACAGCAGCUUAGUACAUGGAGGCCUAAUGGCUAAUUAAGAAUUAUGUAAAUUGCUCAAUCAUAGGUAAAUCAGAUAUUUCUCUGUCCAUGCAUGUUAAAACUAGGUGAGAUGCGGUGGCAUGUGGAGGAUUAUGCUAUUGCAUCAUUCUGCUUUUGCAUCCAAGUGGAAAUAUUCUUAAUGAAACAAAUGAUUGCGAAAGGUCAAACAUAGCCAACUAGCAUCUGCUUGGUUCUUUCUUGAAGAGUGCCUUUCAUAGUUUCAGUUAAAGAAUCAAUCAUAUGAGAUUGGCAGCUCUUAGUUCUGUUCUUUCUUAUUCCAAAUUCUUUUACUGCCUCAUUCAAUUGAAUCCCUCUGCAAUCUCCUAAUGGACCAAAAGAACGAAAAUGCUACUACCAAUUUUUAGACAACAAAGAGAGAAACACUGCAACAGCCAACGAGCUCAUCACUGCAACGUGCAACAAAGCCAACUAACGAGCCUUCAAGCCAGCAAUAAGAUAAAAAAAAAACCCACUGAUUCAGUCUCCACAAUAAGAUAAUAGAUUAACCCACUGAUUCACCUUUGCUACAAUCUUCAAGCCAGACAACAAAGCCAAUUAACGAGUAAAAAAAAAAUUGCAGGACAAACUGAUCAGCUUAUCUAAUUUGAGGACAAACCAAAAAAAAUACCUUUUCUAAUUUGAGGACAAACCAGAUCUUUUGUGAAAUCAAACUAAAUAAGAGGGUGGUGGUGAAGCCGUGAAGGUGAAACCAGAUCUUACCUGAAAAUGAGCUACGAGGAUCAAACUCAUCAAAACCAUCAUCUUGCUUCUGAUCAGCAACUGAAGGUGGUGGUGAAGCCGUGAAGGUGAAGCAGGGGCAGGCUAUGGAGGAAGAUUGUUGGCUGAAAAACAAAAGGGCGAAGCGGCGGCGAAGCAAAGGACGAAGAGUAGAAGACCGAAUGAAGAUUGAAAAGUGAACUAAAGAAUAGGUUUAGAUAAUUUCGGUCAAAAUUCAAUCAAUUUUGCCCAAAAUUAAAAAACCGCGGUUCACGGUUCGAUUCAGGUUUAACGGUUUGAACGGUUUUUUACGGGUUUGAUCGGUUCUUGAACCAAGUCAACACAAGUAAUGAACCGGACCGGACACAUGGCCGGGUCGCGGUCGAACCGGUCGGACCGGCCGGUCCGGUCCGGGUUUGAAAACAUUGCAUACGGUGUGGAAAAAAAUCCUUGGAGGCAUAUUCUAGAUUCAAUUAAUGGAAAUGUUCACUCCCUAUAAGUUGUCCCUAUUGAAACGUGUGAUAGCAGGGUAAAACCUAUAUGUGGCAUCAUAUUGGCCACUCAUUUAUUAUUAGGAUGACUUCACUCAUUUAUAAUUAUGCAUCCAUCAAAACAACAUGUGUCCAUUUAGCUUCCAUGAAUUAGAUAAAUUGUAGAGAACCUUCACCCAAUUGGAGACUUUUCCCAUAUAAUUGCAGACAUGAACAGAUCAUAUAAUUUGGUAAGUAAAAGUAUAAUUGCAGACAUAUAAUUGCAGACAUGAACACCAAACCUACUAUUCUAACCCCUUUGAAAUGCUAUCUGUGGACGUCUUGAUCUUGGAUGCUAUGCAUUUAGGAAUUUUUGUUUGUCUUUUUCUUGGUUUGAUAUUUGCAUUCUAGGUUGUUGGUCUAUUCAUUUUUUUUUUCUUGAGCUUCAUCUUCUUUAUAAUUUAAAAGCCACUAAAAUGUUUUACUUAUGAAAAACUUUAUGAUGCCACAUUAAUGUCAAAGAAUGUCUUCCUUGGAGAAAGAAAUACAGAUUAGCUCAAAAAAAGACUAAAAAAGGAGUUCCAUACUUGCUGUUUGUCGCACUAUAUAUAAUUCACUUUACAUAUAAAUGCUUUUUUGAAUGCUCAAACCUCUUAUUCAAGUACAUAAACUUUUGAAAGAUCAAAUUUUGAUAAUGAACAAGUACAUAAAAAUGAACAAAACUUUUUUGAUAAAUGUGCACCUUUUUUUUUUUUUUUUUUGUAACUAUCCAACAUGCAAUGCAUACUGCCGUCCUUUGUGCUUCUUUAACAUAGACCUAUAAAAUUUAGGAUUUGUGACAAAUUUUCAGUAGGUUUGGAGAUUUUAAGUCAAACAUUUUAAUAUUAAUUUAGAUUGCAAACAACCGAUGGAGAAUCAAAAUUUCCAUUAAGUCGGUACAAAAUAUUCUCUAAGGAUUUUAUCCACAAGAAAAUAAAAAUUUUCCAUUGUGGGUCACGACUUCCAUUGACGAGUGGACUUAGACACAUCCGCCAAUUUUGUACCCAACUUGGAACGUUAUAUGUUGCCCGUCAAGAUCUUGAAUGUUGUUUUUAAAGGUUUUCUGUGCUUCUUAAAAUUUUAAAUGCGCGUUUGAAAUUCUCAAAAAAUUACUUUUUCUCGUUUUAUGUGGAAAUUUUAGUUGUAUUGCUAAUGCUUACAGUUAAUGAUAACUAACAAAAAACUGCUCAUGUAUAUUGUUUUCACACAAAAUUUCAUAAAACAUGAAUUCUCAAAAUGUAAAACUAAUUUCCAGAAAACUAAUUUUUACAAUUAAAUAUAACUUGAAUCAUUUUCGCAUACAUAUAGUGUGCUCCGAUCACUAGUUCAUAAGAAUAACAAAACAUAAUUAGGAUUGAUUUUUAUGGUAACGUCGGUAUCCAAAUUAAAUUAAAAUCCAAAAAUAAAAUGAAUUAAUAUUUCCAUUUGUAUGUCACCAAAGAUUUUCCCCACAAGCACGCAAGGAUUUUCCACGCUGUCUUUCCCCUCCACCACAUUAACAAAUUUUUUUCCAUGAGGACUUGAAGUCGUCGUCCUUUAUCAUCUUUGUAUGGUUCCAUUCUACUUCCCACAAACACAAAAUGGUGAAGUGAUGCUUUUUGUAAGUGUAUAAAUGAGGCCACUCAUCUGAGAUAACUAUAUCAAAUAAACCAAUAAUACCAAAGAAAUCCAAUGGAGCAUCAUCUUCUUUGUACUUCUUCAUCUUCACUACUACUCUUCUUAUUCAGUUCUAUUCCUGUAACCAGCCAAUUCACAUUUGGCAGCAGCAAACAAGCUCAUAAUUAUUCGAAUGUCUCUUAUAUUGAGAAUGAACAACAAGCUCUUCUUCAAUUCAAGUAUAAGUUGAUAGAUGAAUCAAAUCGUUUGUUAUCUUGGAUUGGAGAAAAUUGUUGUUCAUAGGAAGGUAUUAUACACAUACUAUAAAAUAUGUUUUUAUUCACAUGCAUCACACACACGGUACUAAUAUGUAUGUAUAUUAUGCACAUAUGUUUUUAUUCCCAUGAAAUUUGCAAAUUCUUGAUCUCGGUGACAACGGACUAAAGGAUAGUAUACCAGCUUGGAUUGGGGAAAGGUUAUCAAAUUUAAUGUGUCUAAGAUUUCAGUCAAAUAACUUCCAUGGAGCUAUUUCUGAUACACUCUACCAACUCUCACAUCUUCGAGUGCUGAACUUAGCACAUAAUAACUUGAGUAGAUUUAUUCCUCAUUGCUUUAAUAACAUAUUAGUACCAUGGUAUCAGGCCAAGAAGGAGAUUAUAGCGUUGGCGAGAUCCCUGAUGAGAUAAUGGAACUCGAUCAAUAGAAAUUUUUGAAUCUUUCACAGAAUCAUUUGACUGAAAGGAUUGCCGAGAAGAUCGGCAACUUGAAGCGCUUGAUCUAUCAAUGAAUGUACUCUUCGGUGCAAUCCCCGAAAGCUUAUCGGAUUUGUACUCAUUGAACUCCCUGAAUUUGUCACACAAUAAACUUUCAGGGCCAAUACCUGCAGGAAAUCAACUUCAGACCUUGACCGAUCCAUUUAUCUAUGAAGGAAAUAGUGGACUUUGUGGCAAACCGCUCCCAAACAACUGCUCGGAACACAAGUUGUCUACAAAAAAUGGGCCUACUCAUGAUGAUAAAGGCCACAGCAAGUCUGAUUGGUCUUGGUUUUAUGCUGGUAUGGCCGGGGUUUGCUGUCGGGCUCUUGGGAGUUUUGGGAAUCCUUCUCUUCAAGAAAUCAUGGCGCUAUUCAUACUUCAAGUUUAUAGAAAGUGGCUUUGAGAAAAUCUGGGUAAUGAUUGCAUUGAAGACUACUCACCUGAGGAUAAAGAGAAGAAAAGUAAACCUGAAAACAGAAAUCAAGAGCCAAGAAUGGGACUAUUCACCUACACCAUAGCCGGUGGCGGUUUCAUCUUGACCGGUGCUUGGGAGUGUAUCCAAAAUACGCCACUAUCUCCGCCCCUUACCAGCCAUCGCGCCAUUUCAGCUAUUAACAACAGCAGCACUCAAACGAAAAAGGCCCCUCUUUCUUCAUCAUCGGUAACACGCUUAUCAAUCCCCGUCCUUUCUUUCUUCUUCAUUCUAAACUCUCUCAUCUCCAUCUCCGACGCCCUCAACUCCAAAGACCACGUCGGUUUCGCCUUCCAGUUAGAGGUAAUCGCAAUUUCUCUCCUUUUUUUCCUCUACCCAACUCUGGGUCUCUUCGCGCAUGUCAAGAUUUCGUUUCAAUUUCCUUCGGCGAUCCUCAAUAUGCUGCUUCUUUUCACUUUGGACGAAGAAUUUUUGUUCUUUUACGUUAGAAGAAAGGACCCCAGGUGGUAGAAAAUCGAUACUACGAUCUCUUCCUCGUGCCAAUAGGCAUUUGUCUGUUUUGUACUAUUCUAGAACUGAAAAGUCCGAAAUCGAAUUAUGCAAGAUUGGGACGCGGGGUUGGACAGGUUUUACAGGGUAUGUGGAUAGGUAAGAUGGGAUUCAGUUUCUUGAUCAACCCAAAAAAAAAAAAAUAUUGAUGUCUAUAUAUGCACUUCGUGAAUCCGUAUAAACAUGAAACAUAAAGACAUUUUGUUCCUUAUCUAGCCAAUAGGUCCAGCCGUGCAACCCACAAUGCUAUAUGCAAGAAGGCACAAGUUUAGAAACCUGUAUCCUGAUCUACUCUUGCCUACCAAGUGAGGCUGAGAUGAACAGUGUACCAUCAAAGAAAGCAAAAUGAAAUACAGCACAGACUAAUCAAAGACAUAAUGGCACUUAGCGUGCCGCUAGUGCUACCAUCCCAAAUAAACUUUGAAUCAAGGGUUCAACAACUUUGAUAUCACCUAAUAGCAGAUUCCAGCGGGCUUCGUAAUGCUGAUAAUUGAUGUGUCCAUCUCUCUAGUCUCUACAGCCAAAAUGAUGACCAGAUUCUAAGCUACUUCUAGUUUUGAGCACCUUUAGAACCUUCCAUCACCCCUCUGCCACCCUUACGAAUGCUUGAGAAACUCAGUGAUACUGAUUUUGCACUCUUUUGCUCUUCAUUCUUUGAGCUGCUCAGUGUAAGAAGGACAAGUAAGACGAGGAAUUACAUAUGAAAAUAUGAGCAAGUACAUUUAAUAUGUUGUCUGAUUGAGCAGACCUAAUUGCAUAUUUGCUACUUUUAAGUACAUUCAGAUGUUACUAACUGAUGAUCUUUUCUCCUUCCACCCUUAUCACUGAAGUGGAAGUCCUUCAAAAGGUGACUUGUUGCUACAGAUCACAAACCAAAUCAUAAAUUCUAGUAUUAGCAGGAACCACGAAUAAAUCAUAAUUAACCACUAUAAAAGAUUCAUCAUGGCUGAUAAUCAGGAACAUCAAACAAUCAUUUUGCAAUUCUUCAAGUCAAUUCAUGGUUUACGUCAAUAACAUGAACACAAACAGGAGCCAAAAUGUCGUGAAACACUAUAAUUGCAACUUUAAAAAAAAUUAUAACCGAACUCACAAUGCAGAUCAAUAUCCUCUUCACCAGCUAACCCAAAAACAAAAAAAAAAAAGAUUCCCUCAUUGCAUUUAUCCAAACUCUAUGUCACAAACAAUUUAACAAAUGAGCUAAUCUAAGCUAUUCACUUCACAAAACUAAGAUCCAAAUAUCUACCAGGUUUAUUUGGUCUUGAUUUGAUGAACCAGGUUUAUUUGGGAUGGUAGCACUAGCGGGACGCUAAGUGCCAUUAUGUCUUUGAUUAGUCUGUGCUGUAUUUCAUUUUGCUUUCUUUGAUGGUACACUGUUCAUCUCCGCCUCACUUGGUAGACAAGAGUAGAUCAGGAUACAGGUUUCUAAACUUGUGCCCUCUUGCAUAUAGCAUUGUGGGUUGCACAGCUGGACCUAUUGGCUAGAUAACGAACAAAAUGUCUUUAUGUUUCAUGUUUAUACGGAUUCACGAUGUGCAUAUAUAGACAUCAGUAUUGUUUUUUUUUUUCUUUUUUUUUUGGGUUGAUCAAGAAACUGAAUCCCAUCUUACCUAUCCACAUACCCUGUAAAACCAGUCCAACCCCGCGUCCAAAAUCUUGCAUUAUUCGAUUUCGGACUUUUCAGUUCUAGAAUAGUACAAAACAGACAAAUGCCUAUUGGCACGAGGAAGAGAUCGUAGUACCAGUUUACUACCCCACUGGGGUCCUUCUUCUAACGUAAAAGAACAAAAAUUCUUCUCCGAAAGCGAAAAGAAGCAGAUAUUGAGGAUUGCCGAAGCAAAUUGAAACGAAAUCUUGACAUGAGCAAAGAGACCCAGAGUUGAGUAGAGGAAAAAAAGGAGAGCAAUUGCGAUUACCUCUAACUGGAAGGCGAAACCAACGUGGUCUUUGGAGUUGAGGGCGUCGGAGAUGGAGAUGAGAGAGUUUAGAAUGAAGAGGAAAGAAAGGACGGGGUUUGAUAAGCAUGUUACAGAUGAUGAAGAAAGAGGGGCCUUUUUCGUUUGAGUGCUGCUGUUGUUAAUAGCUGAAAUGGCGCGAGGGCUGGUAAGGGGCGGAGAUAGUGGCGUAUUUUGGAUACAUUCAGAGGAAGAUACGAACGAUUCCCAGGCACCGAUCAAGAUGAAACCGCCACCGGCUAUGGUGUAGGUGAAGAGUCCCAUUCUUGGCUCUUGUUUUCUGUUUUCUGGUUUACUUUUCUUCUAUGAACAAUUCUCAACUUCAACAUCGCCGUUGUUUCUGACUAUGACUUUUUUGCCAUAACUAACUCAAGAACUACUUUUUGAAGUGACUUUCUCACAUUUUUCUGCAAAUCAAUUGCACUGAAUAGGUGCAAAGAUCCACAGAAUUUUAUACAAAAGUAUUAUUCUAUGAAAUUAAUUUCACAAAAACCCUAUGAGGUAUAACAUAGCUAGCAAUAGGCAUUGAGAGUUACACUUAGCUCUCAUAUUUUAAUGCUUACAUAAACAAACCCAAAUGAGCUUAGCAAAAUAUUGCUUCCAUUUUCCUAAAAUACGCUUUUCUAUCUACAAAAGCAGAGAAGAGAGAAAAUCUACCGUCAACUUCUUCAAAACUUCCCAUCCUAAACAAAUUACGCUGUUGUGCCAUUGUAACUUUGUUUGAUCAAACAUUGUAACUAGAGAUUUUCUUAUUUUGUUUUAUUUUUAGUGUUUUAUUUUUAGUGUAAAUAGGAGGUUUUAAAUCCAAGAUUUCUUAUUUAUAUUCCCUUCUCCCUAACCCAUCCCCCCCUUCUAGUAACGAGAGAUUGUAUCACUUUUGAUCAAAUGUAAUGACUCUAAAAUUAUGUUGCUAAUUAUGUGCAAUUUAAUAGUAGAGGUUUUGCAAGUAUUUUCAAGUGUUUUUUUGCCAAAUAGUCAUAAUUUGUGUUUAAAAUUUUUUUUGUCAUUUUUUGUUAUUCCAAUUUUCUCCUUGCAUGAUGAAGUAUUAUAUUGCCAUCUCAUACUCCAUACGGUCCGUAUUGACAUAACUGCUACUUCUAAGUUCCGUACUUAUCGGAACUUAUCCACUACUACCACAUAUAUAUAUAUAUAUCCAAGUCUUCCUGCUAACUUCAAUUAAAAAUAUCCCAAUACUCUAUAAUUAAUUCUUUUGCUCUAACUAGUUUCUUAUUCUAUAUCUUUUUCAUUAUUUACUUUUUCCUAAAAUAUACACACACAUUAAGUGUGUCUCACCCAGUGAUCCUAAUAAUUACACAAACUAGUAUGAGCUGCACAAAUUUUCUAUUUGUGAGGCUUGUUAUCCAACAUUUACAUGGGUUUCUAUUUUAUCUACCUAUCUACAGAAACUACAAAAAGAGAAGGACAAAAUGAUUACCUGAGCAGUAUUGACGCAGAGCUUAGGGGCCAUGAACUUGAAUGUUGAGUAGGAUUGUGUGGAGCCUUGUUCAGGUUGGGCCAAACAACAGAUUCUAGUGAAAUGGAGCCGAAAAUUCAUGGGUCUAGAAGUCCAGAAAAUAUUCCAAAUCAUUAGUGGGUGGUUUAUCUGCAAAUCAUCUAAAGUCUGUUGCUGCCAUUCCCUAAUGAGCAGUGACUUCAAACCCAAUUGACGGUUUUUUUUUUUUUUUUUGUAUUUUUUGGUCCAUGUUCAAUUGGGAGGUAAAAGGUAAUUUUUAUAGAAUUUAUCUAUAAAAAGUGACUUUAGGACAUUGAUGUUUUGGUCUUUACUUUAACACCAGAACUUAAGGACAUUGAUGUUUAUGCAAAUUCUUUUGACAAACAAUACCUAGUAUUUCUAUUUGUUACUAGCUUACAAAUUCCUUAGAACUUAGAAAAUGGCAAUGUUGGUCUCUCAGCUUUUCAAAUAGGCUAACAUACAUACAUAUAUAUAUAUAAUGCCAGAUUUCUACUCUAGAAUAUUGAUUUUGUCUCAAUUGGCACCUUUUGCACUGAAUUUUCAGUUUUGAGGAUAUAUGAGAAUAAAUACGAACAGCACAUUUAAAGUAGAGGGAGACCAUUGGAAAAAUGACAAGUUCAAAGGGAAAUAUUAAAACAAUAUUAGAAGGAUAAAGUGAAUAAAAAAGGGAAAAUUUUUGAAACCUCUUCCAAGAUUUCUGAAGAUUUCACCUAGUGCCCCUCUAAUAUGUAUGUAUUUUGAGUAAUUUAAAUGUGUUUUAUUAUUUCAUUUUGAUAUGCUUUAUUUAUUUUUAUAGCUAAUGAACUAAGUUCUUGUGAAAUUAUGCAUUUUGUGGCCUAAGUGAAAAAUUGCACUUCUAUGGUUUAAAAUGGUGAAAAUUUCAUGUUUUUAUAGGUUUAAUGAUUCAAUCAUCAAUUUGAGUGAGUCCAGAAGAUAAGUUGAUAAUUGUUGAUGAUUUUAAAGUGAUUUAAAGAGAAUAUGAAGUGCAAAGAGAAAAUGCAAUCAAGAAUAAAAGAGGAAAAGUUUUCCAACUUUGAUACCUAUUGGUAUAUAUUGAGCUACAAGCAUUGGAUUGAGGUGAUUCUUGAGCCAUUUUCAAGCUAACACACAGCUCUACAUUUUGAAUGCAGACAUCAAAAUAUAGUUCAUAAGUUUUCCGAGUCAAAAUAUCAAAAUACAAUCAACCAUGUUUGUUGUCGAAAGUUGAAAUAGAGGAUUGACCAAUCAAGAGUAAUUUGGUCAUUUAUCCAUCUACAAAGCUCCAAAUUAGGUGAUUUUGGAGGCAUUGGAAAGAUAACUCAAAAGUCUACAACUUUCAUGUUUUGUACAAGAGCUACUUCAGCCUGCAUCAUCAACAAAACAUCAGUUGAAAUUGAUACAAAAACAGAGCCAAGUUAAAGAUUGACAAAAAAUGAGCAAACCUGCAAUAAAGCAAAACUGGGGUCAAGCUUACAUAUUCUUCAAUUGUGGCUGCAAGUUGUUAUGCAACUUUUUCUCUAUUCACACAAGUUUUUUGAAUAAUUUUUCUGCAAGAAAUCCAGCUAGAUAUGAGCAAGCAAGCAUAUAGACUUGUAGAAACAACUUUUGAGAGUUUCAAGAGCCAAAUUUGCUAAUUAGAAACAACUCAUUUGUGGCUUGAAUUUCUCUCUAAAUAGGGCAUUUUUGACCUUAUGGAAUAACUUUGGAAGGUUAAAAACACUACCAAAAAUGUAGUAUUCACUAGUUUUCCUUAAUUCAUUAGUUUAGUUCAUUAGUAUAGUAUAGUUAGGGUUAUUUAUCCUUCUUGUACUUGUAACUAGAAUUGGAUGAAGAAUUAAGGAAUAAAGAUGGAGAGUUGGAGCUCAUGUGACAAGGGUGACCUCUCUCCUAUUACUUUCUCUUUUGCAUUUGAUUUCAUGUUGAGUUAUAAUACAAGUUUGGAUCUUUUUAUUAUGUUUUGCUAAAGUCUAUACCUAGGAGUUAUGGACAAACUUACUAUAUCUUGUUAGUGAUAUCUACUUGGUUAUUUGAUGAUAUUAUUUUGAACAAGUUAUUUAUCACAUUUGCUUUUCUAAUCAUGAUUAAUCAGGCAUUAAUUGUGAUAAUUUUAAAGUGUUAAAUUUGCAAUAAGAAUUAGAAUUUAACACUAGUUCAAGGAAGUGCUAAAUCUAGAGGGUAUACUCACGGGAAUAGAGGUGCACCUAUGUAGUUUUGGUAAUUUAUUUCAUGUAAUUUCAUAGAAGAAAUGAGUUUGUAGCUAAUUUCAUAAUCAUAAGAGUAGGUAUGGCUAAGCUAUAAGUAUAGUUGAUUCACUAUGAGAGUAGGUUUCAUAUACAUUAGGAAAUUAUGCCAUAACUAGUCAAAAUAAUAGCAUUCACUUAAUGUGUAAUUUAAUUUGCAAGAGUAGUGAGGAAUUCCAAACCUCUAGAUGUUUUUUAUUGUUAUUUGCAUUACUUUUAUAGUGUAGAUUUAAUUUCUUGCAUUUGGAGUAUUCUAAAUAAUAAAAAGUUUGAAAACUAUCAGUAAUUGACAAUCUUCCAUGUGGGUUCGACCAUUAAUAGUCUCUACUCAAUCUCAACCUGUAUACUUGCAAAAAAUCAUGUAUUGGGUAUUUAGAAUUUUAUAAAUGUAAAACUUAAUUGUAGAAUGAGUUUAAUUGUUAUAUACAUACUCCACGCUCGUCAAGUUUUUGGCACCGUUGUCGGGGAAGAUUUUGUUCAAUAUCAGUGCUAAGAACAAUUUUAUUAGUUUAUACAUUUUUACUUACUUUUCUUGUUUUUGUUGUGUCAAGUGUCUUGUUAGUUAUGUUUAGUAUUUUAUUGAGUAUUUUAUUUUGUAUUUAAUGCCUUAUUUUUAUUUAUGUCUUUUAACCUGUUCUUCUUGAGUAAUUUUGCUUUUGAGAUUAUUUGAAAACAUUUUUAGGUUCUAAGGAGGAUAGUAAACAAAAGAGGAUCAAAACUUGAGAAAAGAAAGUUCGGCAAUGAACUACACUUUUCAAAACUACAACUAUAGAGGUAACCAAAGGAUGUUCAAAAGUAUGCCAUUUGAAAAUAACUUAAGAUGUUUAAAGGCUAAAACUGGUUAUAUAACUUUAAAAGUUCAAUUGGACACCAUUACAAAUAUACUUGAACAAAAGAGAAAUGUUAAUAUUUUUAAUUCUAAUCAUAUAAUUUGUCACUUGUGUAGAGGUUAUCAUGCAACUUAUGAAUGUACACAAACACAAAAUGUGGAUUAUUAUAAUGAAUUUGGAUAUUACAAUUCUCGUUUUGAUCAAUACAACCCUAGUUGAGGUAAUUUUUAUGUGUAUGAUUAGGGCAAUCAAUGUGCACAUAAGAAUUCUCCGUAUUUUUAUAAUUAUCAACCCGAGUAUGUCCAACUUGAAUCAAAACCUUCUUGGAAAUUAAUAAUAAAAAGCUUAGCUAAUGCAUCAUUAUCUUGGAAACUAGAAAGUAAAAUAUUAGUUAAAGAUUUUAAACCAUCUUGGGAGCUAGUUAUGGAACUGAUAGGGUGCAUUUUAGUGGGAUAUUUUGAUAAAAUUGCAUUAUUGUUUGACUAAAUAUUGCAUUAGUGGGGUAGAUUCCACUCAGAUUUUGUGUUGGUGUUAGUUGCAGGAAGCGGUGGAGAAAAAGUGCUGAAAAUCAACAUUCUAGGAGACUUCCUAAUAGUUAGGCGUGCUCACGCCUAACUCCAACCUUUAAAGCCGGAUUCUUGUGAUUCUUCGCACGUGGGGAGCUUAAAAAAGGGAGUGAAGUGGCUGGCUACAAAUUUGGAGAUCGGUGGGGCCACUCCAGAGCUGAAGAAAGUAAUUUGUAAUAGAAUUUCUAUUAUUUAGGAAGUUUGGUAUUCGGAUACCAAUUUUAGAGGAGAAAACUAGGACUAGAUAUACGCUUCUUUCUCUGGUGGGUCUGGACGAAAAAGGAAAAGGAAUUCCUUCACCUUUUUGGUGGCUACCAACGUGGAGGAUGGAGGGUACUUUUCUUUAGGCUUGUCUUUAACUUUUCUUACUUAGGGGAGGAAACAAACGAAUUGGCCACCAUUGUUGACUUGUGGGAUUUGCUUUUUCCUUGGGUUUUGACCGAAUUGACAAAGAGCAUCAGACUCUCUCGUAUGAUUUUGUUGGAGAAACAAUAGAAAGCAACAAUUUUUCAUGCUCUUUCCUUUCUCUGUUGACUGAAAUUGAAAGAGCAAAUUUGACAACUUUUCCCAAUUCUCUACGCAUGGCUUGUUCUCCAUUAAUGGAGAACUAAUUCCCUAAUUCUAGUCAAGGGGACAACUGAAGAUUUGGUUCGGCAAUUACUGUGAGAUCUAAAUUAUUUUAACUGUUUCCUUCAUUUAUUGGUAUUUUUAUGUUUUCUACUUUUAAUUGUUAUAGCUACUGUAUAUGAUUGAAUAGUGCGCAAUAUUUAAUUAUUCAUGUGGGUUAUUUUGCUAAUUAGAGGUAGUUGGAUCCGUAAUUAUUCGAUUACCUCUGUCCCGAUAGCAACUGACAUAAUUGGGUUUAUAUUAGAGAAACAUACAAUCUAGCUUAAACAAGCCUUCGUAGCGUGUUUGUUAGUUAGGAUUGGGCUUUUCUAAAUCUUAAUGCAAUCUAAAAAUUAAAUCCUACGAUCGUACCUAGGAUUAUUUUCGGGUUAGAGAAAUAAUUAACGGUCAUACUUUGACUAUCGAAAAAGUAAGGAAAAGUUGAUUGUUUAUCGCGUGUAUGACAGCUAUAACCAAUCUAUUAAUAAACGUUGGAAUUAUAUGUGAAUCGAUGAUCAGUGCAUGAACCAUUUCUGAAGUGUACCCUUUGCUAGAGUUUCCCCAAUUAUUUCUAUCAAUUAAUUAUUUUUCGCAUUUGAUUUAUUUAGUUAUCAAUUCAUUAGCAAUUAAUCCUAAAACCCCUCAUUUGUCUUGACUCGAGAGGAAACAAAUUUCUUCCUAGUCCCCGAGGAGACGACCCUGCUUGCCAGUGUCUACUAGUAAGUGAAUUUUGUCAACUAAUUAAUUUGGGUAUAUCAGAUUAAACAAACUCUUCGGGAACAUGGUGAAUCAAGUAACCCAUUGCACACCUAGAGUCCCUACUCCAGUACCUAGAAUUGAUUAUUGACUGCUUUUGGUGGUAGUUAGGUUUUAUUAUUAUUAUUGCACAGGUUCGGCACCUAUUAGGAACAAUUUUCUAAUCAAUUUGAUUUAGUUAUAGAAAAGUUACCUAAUGCAACCUCCGAUAGUUUUGUUCGGAUUGAGCAUAAGUUAGAUGAAUUAGUUUCUCACAUUGGUAGAAUACAAGACCAAUUGCAUAUUUUAUGUGAAGUUAUUUCUUCUAAUAAUAUGCAAAUUGACCCUAGCAUGAAUAGUGGGAAUGUUGUAUGUGAAAAUGGAUUGUAUUUUGAUGAAAACGGUGUAUCUAAUGUGUAUUUAAAUGAGAAAGAGUCCAUUUCACAAGAUAAAAUCUUUGGAACUAAAAAUGAACCUCAAAAGAUGAACAUGAAUGAUUCAUAUUUAAACUUUCUUGAGAAGUGCUCUGGAGGUGUAGGUUCUAACGAUGUUUUCUCCCAAGAAGGUUAUAUGGAUAUUCCUUUGGUGAGUACUCAAGUGAUGCACAUUCAAGGUAAUAUCUAUAAGUCACUUGAGAUUAGUAAGUCACUUCCAUCUCUCUUAUCAUUGGAACCUGUGACUUUUGCUAUUGAGCCACCAUGUUCUAAAAUGGUGAAUUACUUAUUGACAAAGUCUCCUUGAAAAAUGAGAUUAAAUAAUCAAGCUAAUGACUAUAAAGAAACACUAAUUGUGAGGCAACCCAAUAUUUUGGUGUUUUGUUCCAAUUUAGUGUGAUUUUAGGUUUAAACUAAGUAUUGAUGUUAUGUUGUUAUGUUUGUUUUGUAGGAAAGGAAAUUAGAAGCAAAGGUGGUCAAAUGAGAUGACAGACAAAAUUUGAUCAAUGAUCUCAACACCUCAUUUUGAGUAAUUGUGAAUUUUGGUGCAUUAAAGAGAGUUAGAAUGUAUGUUUAAAUCAUUUUAUAUGUGCGUGUAUUGGUUAUUUUAACAAAGGAAUGAUCUAGAAUGUAUUUUAAAAAAUGGGGUCAAGUGCGUAAUUUUUAGAAAAAUGCAGCAAUUUCUGCACUAAAAGUGCAGAAGUAUAAAACACACCCACUAAAAUGCGGGCUAACUUCACAUUUUGGUGUAUCUUCAACGAAAUUUGAAGAAAAUGCUGGCAAAAAUGCGACCAUUGCCGCGUUUUCCCUGCGUAUAUUGCCUGAUUCAUUUCAAUCAAAGAACAGAAAAUACGAGCGAAAAAGUGCGACCAAGGUUGCAUUUUCAGUCCAUGCAUUUUAGGAUCUGCGACAUCCUCGAAGAAAAUGCACGAAGAAAAUGUGACUAUGUCCAUGUUUUACCUCCCCGCAUUUUCUCCCCUCUUCUUUUAAAAUCAGAAAACGCAGCUUCAUUUCUCUUCUUCUUCUUCUUCCUCAGUCGCGUAUUCUCACACCCAAACACACACACACACACACACUCCACAAAACUUCAAUUUUACUCCAUUUCAUUGUAAGAAAUCAUCAAUCCAACAUCAUUUUGACGAACCUUUUUAACAAAUUAAAAUUCAAGAAAAACACUUCAGAAAUCGAUUUUAAGAGGAUUAAAGGUUACGAUUUCUCAACUUUUGUCCAAACAAUUGGGGACCAGUUAGAGGGUGUUUCAUAGGAUUUUUUGUAUCAAUUUCAUCACCAAACAUCCUUCUAUUUGAUUGAGAUAAGUGUCUUCAUCAAAUCUUUGUGACAGGUGCCGAACCUGUGCAAUAAUAAUAAAUAAAACCUAAUUACCAUUUAAAGCAGUCAAUAAUCAAUUCCAGUACUGGAGUAGGGACCCUAGGUGUGUAAUGGGUUACUUGAUUCACCCUAUUCCCGAAAAGUUUGCUUAAUUCGAUAUACCAGAAAUAUUAUCUGACUGAAUUCACUAAUUAGUAGACAGUGGCAAGCAGGGUCGUCUCCUCAGGAACUGGGGAGAAAUUUAUUUCCUUUCGAAUCAAAACAGAUAGGGGGUUUUAGAAUUAAAUGCUAACUAAAUAAUUUAAUUACAGAAAAUAAUUAAUUAAAAGAAAUAAUUAGGAGAGCUCUAGCCAUGGAUACACUUCAGAAAUUAAAUUACACUUCUAGAUUGCAUUAAUAAUUAGAAAGGCCCAAUCCUAACUAACAAACACGCUACGAGGGUUUGUUUAAGUUAGAUCGUAUGUUUUCUUGACAUAAACCCAAUUACGUCAGUUGCUACCGGGACGGAGGUAAUCGAACAAUUACGGAUUCAACUACCCCCAAUUAGCAAAAUAGCUACGUGAAUAAUUAAAUAUUGCGAACUAUUCAAUCAUACACAAAAACUAUAACAAUUAAAAACAGAAAACAUAUAAAUAUCUAUAAUUGAGGAAACAGUUAAAAUAAUUUAGAUCUCACAGUAAUUGCCGAACCAAAUCGUCAGUUGUCCCCUCGACUAGAAGUAUGAACUUAGUUCUCCAUUAAUGGAGAACCAGCUGUGCGAAAUAAUUGAGAGGAGCUUUCCAUUGUUUUUCUUUUUCAAAAGUUGGCUAAGGAGGAAAAGUAAAAGACAAGAAUUGUUGCUUCCCUUUUUCGCCUCUAGCCUCUCAAAAGAGAGCCCAUGUCUACCGAAUCAUAAUCCCUCUUUCUUCUCCUAAUUGGUUGGUAUCUUGAUACCAAUCAACUUCCUAAAAAGAUUCCUAUCACAAUUUAAUUUCCUAAAAACUCUCCCAAUCACUUGAGGAUGAUCCCGCAAAAUCAGAAAGGUCCUGAUAGCUAUCAAAUUAGGAAAUUGAUUCAGAUUUGGAGAUUGCCCAAUAUCAAUCCCGACUUUUCGGCUUUGAGCAGUGAACUUAGGAGCGCCCCUGUGCAACCAUAAGAUGUUUUUCACUAUAAAUCUUCAUUUAAGCACUUUUCAUUCCCGUUCCUGAAAUAAGCACAAAAUACCAAAUAUAAGUAGAAUCCGACAAUUAAAAUAAUAAUUGGCUAAAAUCAAGGCGAGAAUAAUUAUAAAUUUAGCAACAAAUUAUGAUCUAUCAAUUUCCCCACACAUAAACCAUGCUUGUCCUCAAGCAUGAGAACAACAAAUCAAGCAAUCAAAUUCAAACAAUGGCUAUUAUUCAACUCCUCUAUUGCCAAGAUACAAUUAAAACACAUGUCAAGUAUUAGUGGCAAUUUUCAAGAAAUAUCUCUCCAGUUAGCUUUCAAGAUCAAGGAUUUUUUCAAUUUAUGGCUAACUAAUCUAAGGAUAUAAAAUAUUCAACCAGCAUCCAUAAGCAAAUGGUUCAACUAUUAAGCAAAAUCUCAACAUUAAAAUUCAUGAAUCAACGGGUUAACAAUUCAUCCAAACUCUUCCACAUUUUUCACUAUUAACACAUUUUUUUCUAAAAUAUCCCCACACUUGAUUGAUUUUUUUUUCAGGGGGAAUGCUUAGUUUUUAGCCAUUCAAGCGUUUUGACGCGAACUUCAACAUUGGCCACAUGAAGGAGCCCAGUUACUCAGCCCUCAUCGCUUAAAAAUCACAUACUCAUAGCUAUCGUCACUUUUUGACGUGAAAGUCGAUACUUAUGGUGAAGACCUCAUGUUACUAAGCAACGAUAUUAGCGGAGUUUAGCCAAAUACUAUUCAUAAAUAAACACCAAAUUAAAAUUAAAAACCACACAAACCAGCUUCAUUUCUUAAACAUGGAGAACUAAGAUUAAUAGUUGAACCAAUUUGCAUAAAAAAUGUUAGACAAAUAUUUACCAUACUUAGAGAAGUUAACCAAAAAGUGCAAAAGUCACAAAAUCUCAAAUAUUCACCAAAAAGAUACUCUUAAACUUAACCAUGUUAUACUUAAUACCUUAGAGUGUAAAAUCUUAGUAAUAGAAAAAUUUGGGAUAUCUAAUCAUCGUUUAUCAAGAACAAUCACAAGUAUUCAUAAAGAUAGGCAAAAAUUGGACAAAAUUCGACAAAGCCAAACAAAAAAUUCCAGCAAAAAUGCCUACACUUAUACUUUUUCAAUAAAAUACCAAUAUACUACUCCCCCCAUACCUAAAUCUUACAUUGUCCCCAAUGUAAGAGAUAAAGAAUAGAAUACGAAACAAAAGGGACAACGAAACUUCCCUGAGCAUGUAAUGGAGGGUUUCAAGCAGCUAUGACAUAGGGGGGAAUGGUCGGUUCUUCCUUUUAUCCUUUGUUUGAGCAGAGAUGAGAACAGGCAGUGAGGGACUGAGGAGAGGGAGAGCAUCGGUGGUGAACAAUGGCUAGCAGCGGCGGUUGAAUGAAGACGGCGGCUGGAGCGGGCUGGGGAGGUGCUCGGUGCGGUGGCGACGGAGCAGCGGCGGACGGCAAAGUGGGCGAAGGCAGUAGCGGGAAAGGGGGGAAAAGGGAAAGAAAGAAAAAAAAAGAAAGAAAAAGAAAAGAAAGAUGAAGAACCAUGGGUUUUUUGUUUUUUUUUUGAAUAAAGAAACCCUUGUGUUAAGCGUGGGCACGCCUAACUGCUUUCGAGUCUUCUGACCAACCGUCUGAAAUUAAGAUCCUUAAACAUGACCACCUGGCAUGGGUACGCCUAACUACUCUCGAGUCUUCUGAUCAACCUAUGGAAAUUAAGAUCCUUAAGCGUGACCACUUGGCGUGGGCACACCUAACUGCUAGAGAGUCUUUUGACCAAUUUUUGAAAAUUGAGUUCUUUAAACAUGACCACCUAGCAUGGGCACUCUUAACUAAUGGAAAGUCUUCUGCCCGCAAACACGAAUUGUCUUCCUUAGGCGUGACCACUAGACGCGGGCACGUCUAACUACUAGGUAGUUUUCUGUCCGUCAAAUUAAAACCUCCUUCCUUAGGCGUGACCACUUGACGUGGGCACGUCUAACUGCCAAUUUCCUGCCACAAAAGCAAUAAAUUACUAAAUGCAACUAACACUUAACAAAAACUCCAGAAACAUGAGAAAACUAACACAAAGGGCCUUGGGUUGCCUCCCAAACAGCGUUUUUCUUUAAUGUCUUUGGCUAGAUAUUUUCAUGGUUAUUCACGGAGGAUAAAAUCUUGUGCCUCGUUUCAAUGCUUCAUCCUCUAUAUAAUCAUGAUAGCCCUCGUAAAUAGAAUAAUCCUUGAGCACACGAGCUAUGGUCUUCCAUGGACUAGUAGAUGGCGCCAAACGAACAAGUAAUGACUUUAAUUCUUCCCUCACUUCUCCAUUACGAGUAUUUACUGGUUCGAGAUAUUUUGCCAUCGCAACUCUUAACUUAUUCCUGAAACUCAAAAUCAUCUGGUAUAAUAAAAUCAAUCUCACUAACAGGAAUUAAAGAAUAAGAGUCAGGAAAAUAUUGAUUAAGGAAUGGAGGAGAUGUCACCGCAUUUGAAUAUUGUUCACUAGAUUCAUCCAUUUGAACAAUUUAAUAUUGGGGUUCCAUUUCUUACACUUCAACUUUCUUUUCAACUACAUCUUUAGAUCCUUCUUCUUGAGACUCUCGCAGUACCAUGUCAUUUGUCAGGAUAAUUGCACUCUCAUCUUUCUCAUGAUCGAUAAUAGUCUGUGAGAGCAAUUCUUCACACAUUCGAGAAGUCAAUUGCGUUAUCCUAGAUGUCAAUUGAGUCACUUGAUCCGCCAGGUUACGCAUGCUCACUUGUAUCUCCUGAUGAAAUAGAUAUGUGUUAGUAGCUAGUGAUUCAAUUGUUUCUUUAAGAGAUAUACCUAACGUAGAUAAUGUUUCUUGAGAUUCUUGUUGUUGAAAAUCCAUUGGCCUGGUCACAUAAUUAAAAUUGUAAUCAUCCCACCAUCCUUGAUCAUACUCGUUUGAAUAAGGGCCAUACCACGUUUGAUAUUGAGGUGAAAAAUUUCCAAAGUAUCGAUUGGAGCACUUAGACCAUCUUAAAAUGCAGGGCAUAUGUCGGUUGAAUGAUUUGAGGCAAAAUAAGUUUCACAAUUUGCAACAGCCCAUUGAUCAUUAGAAAAAGCACGAGUCUCAUAACCCCUUCUAGAAAUAAAAUCCAGUCUAUCAUCAAAAUACGGAAUGUUAGCAGCCAUAAACUAUAUAUAAAAAAAAUAAGAGAAAAAUAAAAAAUAAUAAAAACAAGAUGAACUCAAAAAGAAACAAAUUAAUCAGGCACCAGUCCCCGACAAUGGCGCCGAAAAUUGACAGGUGCCGAACCUGUACAAUAAUAAUAAAUAAAACCUAAUUACCACAUAAAGCAGUCAAUAAUCAAUUCCAAUACUGGAGUAGGGACUCUAGGUGUGCAAUGGGUUACUUGAUUCACCCAAUUCCCGAAGAGUUUGUUUAAUCCGAUAUACCAGAAAUAAUUAUCUGACUGAAUUCAAUAAAUAGUAGAUAGUGGCAAGCAGGGUCGUCUCCUCAGGGAUUGGGGAGAAAUUUAUUUCCUUUCGAGUUAAAACAAAUAGGGGUUUUAGAAUUAAAUGCUAACUAAAUAAUUUAACUGCAGAAAAUAAUUAAUUAAAAGAAAUAAUUAGGAGAGCUCUAGCCAAGGGUACACAUCAGAAAUGGUUCAGGCACUGAUCAUUGAUUCCCAAAUAAUUCCAACAUUUAUUAACCUUUCCUUAAUUUCUCGAUAGUUAAGGUACGACCAUUAACUAUUUUUCAAAUCCGGAAACAACCCUAGGUACGACUAUAGGAUUUAAUUUCUAGAUUGCAUUAAUAAUUAGAAAGACUCAAUCCUAACUAACAAACACGCUACAAGGGUUUGUUUAAGUUAAAUCGUAUGUUUUCUUGACAUAAACCCAAUUACGCCAGUUGCUACCGAGACGGAGGUAAUCGAAUAAUUACGGAUUCAACUACCCCCAAUUAGCAAAAUAACCUACGUGAAUAAUUAAAUAUUGCACAUUAUUCAAUCAUACACAAAAGCUAUAGCAAUUAAAAGUAGAAAACAUAUAAAUAUCAAUAAAUGGAGGAAACAGUUAAAAUAAUUUAGAUCUCACAGUAAUUGCCGAACUAAAUCGUCAGUUGUCCCCUCGACUAGAAGUAUGAACUUAGUUCUCCAUUAAUGGAGAACUAACCGUGCGAAAUAAUUGAGAGGAGCUUUCCAUUGUUUUUCUUUUUCAAAAGUUGGCUAAGGAGGAAAAGUAAAAGACAAGAAUUGUUGCUGCCCUUUUUCGCCUCUAGCCUCUCAAGAGAGAGCCUAUGUCUGCCGAAUCAUAAUCCCUCUUUUUUCUCCUAAUUGGUUGGUAUCUUGAUACCAAUCAACUUCCUAAAAAGAUUCCUAUCACAAUUUAAUUUCCUAAAAACUCUCUCAAUCACUUGAGGAUGAUCCUGCAAAAUCUGGAAGGUCCUGAUAGUUAUCAAAUUAGGAAAUUGAUUCAGAUUUGGAGAUUGCCCAAUAUCAAUCCCGACUUUUUGGCUUUGAGCAGUGAACUUAGGCGCGCCCCUGUGCAACCAUCAGAUGUUUUUCACUAUAAAAUCUUCAUUUAAGCACUUUUCAUUCCCGUUCCUGAAAUAAGCACAAAAUACCAAAUAUAAGUAAAAUCCGACAAUUAAAAUAAUAUUUGGCUAAAAUCAAGGGGAGAAUAAUUAUAAAUUUAGCAAUAAAUUAUGACCUAUCACUUUGUAUUUUAAAAUAUGAUAUUUUUCAAUUUCCUGAACUUUCUGACAUCUUUUAAUUUCAAAAUUUUGAUGAUAUUUAUUGAUAUUUAUGGCUUUGAAUAUACUUAUUAAGGUUGUUUAAACAUGUUUACACAUUCAAAUGUAGCAAUUUGAUGCUUUAUUAGUUGUUAAAAAUUUACAAUUUGCUAUAUUUGGGUAAAAUUGGAAAAAUAAUUUGGAUUGUUAUUUAAGCCCUUUUUAUUAAUGUUUAUGGCUGAAAAUGGUUGAUUGAUGAUGGUUUAACAUAUACAUUGCUUAUAAAGAGAGAUUUUGAUGAAUUUUGUAAAUUUUGGGGAUAAUUUUGACUAAUUUUGUUUAAUCAUUGUAAGCACAAAUUUUGUUGCCUAAAACAAAAGACAAGAAAACCUGUACAAAUGUCAAAUUUAUUGAACCAAAUAAUAAGAGGGUUACAAUUUCUAAAAAAUCUUGAACCAAAUAAAUUAAUUUCCUAAUUCUUCUCUUCUAAAGACUUCAAUCGAAGGGACGAAGAGACUUGUUCUCCGAUCAAGAGGGUGUUUCCUACAAUUUUGACGUAGAAAACGGAUGAUUUCAAGAUAGCGUUGAACAGUUGAAUCUUUAAAUCUUCAACAUGAAUGGAAGAAAGAUUUGCUUGGUUUGACUUGGAUUUGAAUUUGAGGGAAAAAGGCUCUUUAGCAAAUUUGACAGAGUUUCUCCAAAAUUUAGAAAUUUCAGUGUCCUUUUUGCCUUGAAGGUAGACCUCUAUUUAUAGUCAACAUAUGUAGGCUAUGUCCUCGAGGAAAGCUUCCAGAACCUUCCUGUAUUUUGGGUAGCUUGUAACUCAAGAAACCCAUUUAACUUAGACUUAAGUAUUGGGUCAACCCAAAUAAUCCAUUGUGAACUAAUAAAUCAAUUAAUCCACAUCAAUCUAAAUGGACAUCACAAAUUUAAUUUGAUUUAAUAGCCCAUAUAACAUUGGCUUAAUUUGCCAAUCCAAAGUACAAUGGACUUUUAUAAUUUAAUUUAAUUUAAUCAAGAUAAAUUUAUUUUAAAAAAUCUUGACUAAAUAAAUUAAAUACAUUUCCUUACAAAUGCCCCCACUUCAAGACUUGGUAGGGUAUUGCUUGACAAUUGCUAAAGACGAGUCUUGAAGUAUUACUCUUGAUUUACAAGACUUUUAGCUAAUGAAAUCCAUUAAAGUCACGAUUUUGUAGAAUACUUGAUCCAUUAGAGAGCCUAAACUUUGCAUUCUAGCCUUAUAAUGUUGCUGAACCAAAUUGAUUCAUGCAUAGAAUCAUAAUGCCCGUGGCUUCAAUUCUUUAAAGAGUCAUGAGACCACUUUCCUUUUUGUUUGCAGUUGAUUCCAAAAGAAUUAGAAACAUAUCACUUUCAACCAUUUCUAUUUUUCCAUGAUGCGUCAAUUCGGCAGGUACCCAAAUCGAGCACUUGCAAUGAAUUGAUAAUUGUCAAAACCAACUACUAGACGGUGUAGAAUGUAAGCAAUUUCCUUGGGCAUUGAACCAGUCUUGUUAAUGCACAAAACAUUGACGACCAACCCUCAAUAAUCUAAUGGAAAAUUUGAAGCAUAACUUAGAACGAAAGGUUAUAGGCUCACUUUCCUUCUGACCUUUAAUUACUUCUAAGACCACGUGCCAAUCAAAAUUGGUCCACUGCCUAGAAUGAACGUUCAAUCAAGCACCAUUGGAGCAAACUGACAACUGCUAAAAUCAACUUGUAAACAAUUGGAAUCUAUCAACUGAACAGCUUUUGAAACCAAUUUCGUAAUACCUAAUUCCUGCAAAUUCCGAAUGAACUUUGAUUUCCCCUUUUUUUUCUUUUUAUUGCACUGUUUGAGCUCUAUAAAAGAAGCCAAUAAGAUCAUUUAUAGCUCCAAGUACAGCUGAACAAAUCGUAGCAUCGUGGGGAUAGAAUGAACCAGAAAAAUUCUUACACCAUCGAGGUAAUGGUCAACCCUUCUUUUAGUUUAGAUUUCAAGCUUUUUCAGAUUAACAUGACUAGCGCGAGAUAUACAUGUGACGCCCCCACUUCUCCCUAAGGCAAACCAAGGGGUAUCCGCGGGACGCCUGCCCAACUCUCGCUAGGACUCACUACAAUCCACAAUUCAAAAACUCGGAAUACUUCAAUGACUUCAAUACAUAAUUAAAGUACUCCACAAUAUCUCACACUUACAAUUAAUCAGCUCUCAAGUUUAAUACAAUCCAAAAGAAUAUUUACUACAGCCGUCUGCUGUAAUACAACUUUAAAUUUUCAAAAGAAGGUAAUCUAGUACAAUUCACGAGCACUCUUGGUCUCGAACCCUGUUAAAGAAACCCAAAACGUGGGAUGAGCUACACAGCCCAGUGAGGUUUCAAGACACUCUAGCAGUUCUAAUAAAUCAAGUAAUUGAGCAUAUCAUAUGUAUGGUUCAAGAUUACACAUUGGCAUAUUAACAUGAGACAAUAAUCAUUGUACAAGUAAUUUGAGCAUAUCACAGGUACGGCACAUUUGUAUGAAACGGUUAUCAUUAUGCAAAAUAAACACACAUUGAAGGAUACAGUGUUCCAGUGGAACCAUUUCGGUCAUCUCCACCUUAUAACUUCCGGAUCCCCUCGGUUUGUCUGGCCAUCACCUUAUCCCUUCAGUGGUAGUACUCGAGUAUACCGAAACGGUGGCCCAGGGUUCCAACCUACCUGACCGAGCCCAGUCCUGGCUCGAGUAGGUCAGUAACCAAGGGCAGGGCCCAAGUUCAGUUUAGAGCUUACAACAUGCACAAGUAAUCAAAUAACUUGGCGAACGGUAAAAAUUUAUUCUUUUGGUAGGUCGAGUGAGAUAAAGUACACACUCGCCUUAAGACAUUGGCAAUUUCACAAGAGCAAGUAUAGGUAACACUUAACGUCUAAACAUGUAAGGAAUAUGCCGUAAUUUCAUAUGAACACGGAAUUCAUGGUAAUCAAGUAAAUUGGUAAACAGUAAGUAAUUACGGUUAAUUGGUAGACAUUAGUCAUUUUAGUAGGCCGCCAUUGGCCGUUUCUCACUUUUAGCACUUAAGAGUCGAGAAGGUUCACUCCAACCGACUUAUGCAGCCAUAGCAUAAUUAAUCAUAUAAACACUUAACGUAAAUAUGCUCUCCAAGCAUUUCAUAUCUAGUAUUUCAAGUAAUCACAUAAAUAUGCUCUUUAAGCAUUUCAUAUCGAAUAGUUCAAAUAUACAUAUUUCAGGUAUUUCAUGUCGAGUAAUUCAAGUAUAUCUUAUUCAAAUAUGCAUGAGCGUGGUAAAUACUUAACAUAUAGCACUUAACACUUAAUGACCAUGGGUUAAGCAUGUCAUAGACUUAUUCCAAUUACGCCUAUUCCUAUAUGGAACACUCACCUAUUCAAAACAAGUGAUUAAGUACUCAAACAAGCGUUUGGGCGUCCACUUCGAGUUCCUCUUGAAGGUCUCCUUGAGCGCCUAAGCAAUUAACCAUCAACUAUUAUACACUAUCACUUAGAACCCCUACUUAUCAAAGAAGGUUGUACAAUCUAAAGAGAAUUCAUGAAUUGGGUCUUAAUUAUUCAUAAUCGAGGCUCAAGAGUGAAGUUUUAAAGUCUAAAGAGAAAGACUAGCAUUUUUCACGAAAUCGAGUUCAAAAUGUUCAAUCGAUAUCGAGAAAAGAAGGCAAGUUUCAAAAAUCUUAUUUUCUAAGAAAUUGACAAAUUUCAACUUUGGGUGUCGAUUUUAGAAAAAUCAUAUCUUGCUUUAUAUAGGUCCAAAAUUGGAAAAUUUGAUACCGUUGGAAACCUCUUCAAAAGUACUAAAAGUUCUUAUAAUAUACUUUUCCAUGAUUCCAAAUGGAAGGUAUUCAAAAAUAGGCUCAAAGUUGUUGUUUUGGCACUUAAGACAGUUUCGGGGUUGGUUUUUGACCAACUUUGAAAAUCCGGCAAAAUUCUCACAAUACGAACUAGCCUCCGAAAUUUGGAAUUCAAUUAGAGCUACAUUCAAAGUUUAAAACAAAACAAACGGAACAAGAAUCAAAGUUUUGAGCGCCAAGAUAUAGCAGCUCAAAGUUGGCUAAAAAUUCCUCCUUGAUCAAGAAUUUCCAGAUUUAAAACAUGAACUUUGGGACUUCAGUUGGAUAUUGAAAUAGACUCGGAAUGGCACCAAAAUUAGCAGUAUUAUACUACCAUAUAAGGGCUAUUCCUCUGUCAAAUUUCAUAGGAAAAUUCAUUCGGCAAGUUGGUUAACAAAACCAUCAAAGUUUCAAGAAUUUCCAAGGCAAAUCUGCCUUGUACUUCAAAUUUUCUUUUCUAAAACCUUUAGCCAAUAAAAUGUCUAAAACAUGUCUCAUUUGUGAUAACCAGGUCUAAUAAGAAUCCAAUAUAUAUUUGGUAGGUGAUUAACACCAAGAAUUUCAAAACAACAAGUCCCAACCAAGGGUUAGGCCUUUACUAGCCAAAAAGAGGAUUUUUACUCACUGCAUCAGUUUCGAAAUAUGGACACAACUCACUCAAUUCAACUCGGAAUUGAGUUCAGUUGGUGGCGUUGAAAAGCUCUUUCAUAAAGAUAGAAUUUUUCAGAAGAAACCAUUUCAAAAUCUAUUCACAAGCAACUCGUUUUUUGAGCAUCAAGUUACAGUUCAUGUCCUGCCUCCUGAAGAGCAACGAAACAGAAUAGUAAUUUUCAAACGAAUGGUUUGGCUCAUUCGAGUGGAACUAGGUCAUGCAUUUUAUACCAAUGGAAAGCUGGGAUUGUCUAGUUUCCAGUGCCACAAACGGCACUUGAUUUUGACAUUGGAGCAAAGAGUUAUGGCCGAUACAAAAUGACUGCCUGGGCAAUACGAGAAUCAUUUUCCAGUUUUGCUAACUUUGGAAAUCAAUUCAUUUGACCAACCAAAUCAUGUUAUUUUUCAAUGAAACUUUCUACACACUUCAUAUAACAUGUAAAAAACAGAAACAAGCCAUUAGAACCUUAAAAGUUUGCACAAAAGGGCUCGGACAAGGCAGGGGUAAAAUGGUCACUUUUGCUCCAAGCACCUCUUUUGAUUUUCUACCAACAAUACAACAUUAAUCCACUAAUAUAAGCACUAAACCACCAUUAAUUUCAUCAUCCAACAUCAAAUCAGUCCUUCCAUCAAAUGUGGGAGUUCAUAGAGCCCACACAACCAAUUUCCUCAAAAAUAAUGCUACCCACUAACAUGCAUGAGUAUAUACGUGUAAUAGAACUUCCGUAAACUAAGAUUCGAGGGGUUGAUCGUCCAAUACCUCUCUUGAUGAACUAGGACAGAAUUUUCGGUCCAAUGAAUGCCCAAGAAAACCGUGGAAAUGAAGCCCCUCUCCUUGCCUAGGUGAAUCUCCAAGUUGUUGUGAGUUUGUGGUAGAAAUUUCAAGUGAUUUGGUGCAAGUUUGAGAGGAAAAAUGAAGAAGGAACUUUGGUCUCCUUCUCUUGGUGUUGCACGGCUGGUUUGAGAAGGAAAAGAAGAAUGGUGGCUGAUGAUAAGCUUCCGUGGGAAGCUUUGAUAUUUGUGGCCAAAAUUGGUUCCAAAAGUCAACCUUUCAAUAGCGUGCGAACGCGCGCGUUUCGUGCUCGUUUCCUCUCGGGUUUGUUUCACUAGUGCACUAAACCUCUAAUGCACUUGUAUACAUACUAUUGUUAUUCACUCUUAAUUGUCCCAAAAUAAUGGUCUAAAGUCUCUCAAUUAAAUCGUGCGUGUGAGAACGCGUAUUUUCAAAUUAAACGUGAUAAAGCGAAAUUUCUAAGAAAUUCUUAUAACAAUGGUACAACUAACUAUCACUUGAGUACUUAAUCAUAAAAAUACCUAUUUUAAGACUAAUGCACGUAUCUCCAAAUUUUCAAGCUCAGUGUAUCCUCAAAUCGGUUAUCGUUCCAAAUGCACGUGCACUAUUUUCACUUAACAGGCUUUCAAAAAUUAAUUUUUGAAACGAGACACUUUAAAAAUAUAAUAAAGCUAUAGAUCCAUGUAAUUAAGUCUAAAGGGGUUAGAAAAUAAUAUUCGAAGAAAACGGGUGAGCAAAUAAUUAAUUAAACCAUAAAAAUAGAAUUAUAAGUGAGAAAAAUUCGGGUCCUCACAAUACAUAUACAAUUAAGUUUAUCCACAGUCAAAUUUUACAUUUAUAAAAUCUUAAAUACUCCACACGUGAUUUUUCUGCAAGUAUACAGGUCAUUUAUUGAGUAUAGGGGUAUUAGGUGUCCAUCUCACAGGGAAGAUUUUCAAUUACUGAUGUUUUUCAAACUCCUUUAUUAUUUAAACUAUCAUCAGUACAAAAUAUUAAAUCUACAUUAUAAAAGUAAUAAAAAUAUAAUAGAAAACUUCUAGAGGUAUGGAAUUCCUUACUACUCUUGCAAAUGAAUUACCGAUUAAGUGAAUGCUAUUAUUUUGGUUAGUUAUGGCGUAAUUUCCUAAUGUAUGUGAAACCUACCAUCGUAGUGAAUCAAUUAUACUUGUAACUAAACCAUACCUACUCUCGUGGUUAUGAAUCAACUACAAGCUCAUUUUUUCUAUGAAAUUACAUGAACAAAUUAUUAAAGCCACAAAGAUGCACCUCUACUCUCGUGAGUGUACUCUCUAGAUUUAUCACUUCCUUGAAUUAGUGUUAAAUUCUAAUUUUCAUUGCAAACUUAACACUUUAAGAUUAUCACAAUUAAUGUCUAGUUAGUCAUGAUUAGAUAAGCAAAAGUGAUAAAUAACUUGUUCAAAAUAAUAUCAUCAAAUAAUCAAGUAAAUAUCACGAACAAGAUAUAGCAAGUUCAUCCAUAACUCUAGGCAUAAAUUUUAACUAAAUAUGAAGAAAAACAAAGCCAAACUUGUAUUAUAACUAAACAUGAAAUCUAAUACAAAAGAGAAAGUAGUAGAAGGGAUGUCACCCUUGUCACAUGAGAUCAACCUCUAGAUCUUGCUCCUUAAUCUUCAUCCAAAUCUAACUACAAAUACAAGAAGGAAAAACUACACUAACUAUACUAUACUACUCUACUAAUGAAUUAAGGAAAUUCUAGUGAAAACUACAUUUUUGUGGAGUUUCUCUAGCCUUCCAAAAUUUUGAAAAUGUUCCUCAAAGGCUACUAUUUAUAGAGAAUUCAAGCUCAAGGUGAGUUGUUUCUUGGUUGGCAAAGUUGGCUUUUGAACUCAGCAAGAGCUGUUCUCCAAAUUUUGGCUCUCUUCUUGGUCAAAUACAGCCAAAAUUCUGAGUUGUAGAUGAGAUGGAAAGGUUGUGUGAAUGCAAAACAAGUUGCAGAGCAAGUUGCAGCAGAAAAACUAGAAUACGCGACCUUAGCUUGCGUAUUCAAGGAUCGCGUUUUCACUUCUGUGAAUUUGACACCACUUUAACUGCUAUUUUCUUGAUAAUGGAGUGAUAACCAUUGUCGAGAAUUGGUGUCGGUUUGCUAUUAUCAUGCUUGAAAACAAGCAUGGUCUAGGUGGGGAGGGAAUUGAUAGGUCGAAAUUUUGUCAUUUAUUUUACAAUUAAUUCCCUCCUAUUAUCUUACUAAAUGUGCAUUAAUUGGCAGAUUCUACUUACUUUUGAAAAUUUGUAUUUAUUACAGGGUGUUGGAACAAAAUAUCAUAAAAAGGUGCAAAUUCCUCACUAUAUUGGCUUCGGGACAUCUAGCAUUGCAAUGUGGGUCACAAACCAUGCCAAAAUUAUCAAGUUGUACACCUUUGGCUUAGUCAAAUUAAUUUUGACGGUAGUCAGCAGAGGAGUUUGAGUAGUAAUAGGAAACCGGAGACUAAGUGAAUUUGAUUUUCCUUAUCUAUUGGUCAAAGUGGGGCAGAAGUGGGAUCCUAGUAGGAUUCUUUCACUAUUAUUCUUUGGAGUAACCGUAUAGGGUUGGACAAAUUUAGAUAGGAAAAUAAAGUGGGCAGACAGCCUUGACUCCUUCUCUUUGUACUUUCGUCUUAUUCUUGCUCUUAUGAUAUCGGGUUUCAUUAUCUCAAUUUGAGGAAGAAUGCCUUCGACAAUUAAUUCUGCCAUUUUGCAUGAAAUUGCUUCAACGGAGAUGAACUAAAUCCCUUCUUCUAGUCAAGAAACAAUAGAAGCUUUGGUUUAUUUAAAAAUUGUGAGAUCAAACUAAUUUUAUUUAUUUCUCUUAUUUACUGGUAUUUGCAUAUUCUCUAAUUGUAGUGUUUAUGGUUGUUUUGUUAAUUGAAUAUCCUAGACCUGGAUGUUGACUUAAUUUGGCAACCUAAUGUUAAUUGGAGCGUUAAAUCCAUAAUUGUUUAAGUGUUCUAAAAUAGUGACAACUAGCUGUGCUGUCUAGUCGAGUCGAGCUCGAGUAGUACCAUACUCGAGCUCAAGCUCAAAAGUUAUGAGCACUACUCGAGCUCGAACAAGCCUCAAACUUCAGAUUCGAACUCGACUCGAUGUAGUUAAAAAAAACUUGAGCUCGAACUCGUAUUAGAUUCGAGCUCGAGUACUCGAGCUAAGCUCGUAAAAUGAGCUCGAAAACCUAUGCAAAAAAAUAUGUGCUUUCCUUCAUUGUCCACACAAAUAAUGAUUUAUGAUUUAUGAAAUCCCUACUUUGUCCACACAAAUAAAUAAAGGUGGUAGAAUGGUUCAUUGUAAAUUUCAUAAAUUGUUUACUUAUAUUAGUAAUUUUAUAUAUAAUAUUUUUAAAUUUUUUAUACGAUACUCGAUAGAGUUUGUCGAGUUCUCGAGUAUCAUAUAUCUAAGAUCGAGCUCGACUCGAUAGCUCUAACGAGCAACUCGAGCUCGAGAUCGAGCUUGGUCAACCGAGCUCGAUCUCAAGCUGCUGACCAAGUAGCUCGUGAGCUCGAGCCGAACUACUUGGUUCAGCUCCACCCCUAGUGACAAUUGGCAUGAUUGGGUUUGUGUCAGGGGAAUACGUGGGCUAAUCUAAAAUAACCCUGGUAGCAUGUUAUUUGAUUAGAAUAGGGCUCCUCUAAUACAUAAGGCAAUUGGGGAAUUAAAUCUUGCGGGCGUACUUAGGAUUAUUUCUCGAUUAGGACAGUGAUUAAUGAGCGUACCUUAAUCACCGACACAGUAAGGAGGAGUUGACUGUCAUCGCUUGUUUGGCAGUUAUAACUUAUUUAUUAGUUAAUAAUUGGAACUACCUUUGCAUCGAUGAUCAAUUAGGUGAACCAUUGCUGAAAUUAUUUCUUGGUUAGAGCUUAGUUAUUAUUAAUUUGAUUUUAAUAAUUUGUCAUUUAAUUUUUAGUUGGUUAUUUAUUUUUAUUCGAACCGUUUAAUUAUUACCAUUUUUAUAAAAAAAAACCCUCCUUUGUUAGUUUGAAUUUCAAAAGAGACAAAUAUCCUUAGUUCCUGUGGAUUCGACCCUACUUAUCACUAUCUACAGAAAUUAUAUUUUGUUUGAGCAGAUAUUUAUUAUUGUACAGGCUCGACAACCUGUCAAAAAACUACCUUGUGUGCUAUUUUGGUAACUAAUGAAGUUCAUAUCAGUAGCAACAUGUGUAUAUACACUGCAAGAAAAUUGGUCAUCAGUGACAACUUUUUUCUGUAACGAAAAAAAGUUGUCACAAAAGGGGAUCCUUUAUUGAUGACUUUCUAACUCGUCACAAACCUCUAAUGGGAGCCAACUCAUUUGUGAUGACUUAGAAAAGUCGUCACUAGUAAAUUCCCGCCAAGAUUUAGCAAGAGCGCGGGAGUGUUUAGAACACACAAUAGUGACGACAUUAAGAACAUCAUCACUAUUGCUUGGCCUAUUUACGGACGACUUUUUGUUGUCGUCACUGAUCACUAAAAAAAAAGUUAUUAAUGACAACAUUUUGUAGUGAUGACAAUAAUUCGUCACAAAAGGAGCUUCUUUAGUCGCGACACCUAAAGUUGUCACAAUUGCAUCAAAGCAACUAAAUGUUUAGUGACGACCCGCUAUUUUCGUCACAAACUACACUGCUAGAAAUAUGGUCAUUAGUGACAACAUUUUCUAGUGACGACAAAAUUCGUCACAAAACGUGGUUGUUUAGUGACGACAAGGAAAGUUGUCAUAAUUGCUCAAAGCAACUAAGUCUUCAGUGACGACCUUGAAAAAGUUGUCACUAAAAUGAUCUAUAGAGUGACAACUUCUAAUAUCGUCACUGUCACUCUACCGAUUCGGAUUUAGUGACAAGAAUUAAUCGUCACUGUUUAAAGUACUUAUUUCUAAGUCACUUUCAUUAAUUCUACUGUGCCAUCCUAACUUUUGCGAUUUAGCCCCAAAUGUUGUAAAAAAUUCCAUUAAUUCCAUUAUGAUACCUUAACUUUUACAAUUUAGCCCCAUAUGUAGUACACCGAUUACUUUAAUUCUAUUAUUACUCCCUAACUUUUGUAAUUUAGCCCCAUAUGUAAUUCACCAAUUUCAUUAAUUCUACUAUGGCACUCUAACUUUUGCAAUUUAACCCCCAUAUGUAAUACACCAAUUUUAUUAUUUCUAUUAUGACACCCUAGCUUUUACAAUUUAGCCCAUAUUUUUUUAUUAGGAAAUUACGAAUGGUAUCUUGAUAAACUAUGUAUAAAUAUUUUAUAAUUUUCUCAAACUUAAGUAAUAAUUUGUUAUAAACUCUAAAGAUAUAUCUUUCAUUACAAUAGUUAUAAGGCAGGCAAGUCUUUUUAUCAAUGGAAUAAGAAAUUUAUGCCAGAUUUAUCCUUUGUACUACAUGCCAAGUAGUAUUAGCAAAGGAAUAACAAAGUACUACAAAGUAAUUAACAAAAUAGCCUUCAGGGAGUGUAGUUUAUGGGCAAAUGAGCAUUAUCUAUUCAAAGUACCAACUUUUUAUGGGCAUUUUACUCUCAAACAUAUAAUUUAUGAUAAAUUUAUAAAUGUUUGCAAGUAAAAUUCAAAAAGUGUUACACUGAUUUCUUACAAAACGAAAACUGGCAGGUUAUCUUUUCAACAUAAAUUAAAUUUUUUUAAAAAAAGAAAUGGCCCAUAAAGUACCAACUCUUUGUGGGUUUCCUCCAUUACAUGAACAAAUAUUCUGCUCUUUAUGGCAUUUCACUCUGAAUCAUUUAAUUUAUGUUAAAUACAUAAAUGUUUGUAAGUAAAAUUCAAAAAGUGUUGCACUAAUAUUUUUAUGAAAGGGAAACUGGUAGGUUUUGUAUUUAACAUAAAUUAAAUAUGUGAAAGCAAAAAAAAAAGAAAUUACCCAUAAAUCUAUGUCUUGCAAAUCUAUACUAGUAAAAUAGUUUCAAACAAAAUUAAACAUUAAAAUAAACUGUAAUUUAUACACAUUAAAAUAUCUGUAAUUUAUACACAUUUUGCAACUACUACUUUGUGUUUUCUCUGUAAUGAAUUUUUUAACUAUUGAGAACUUAAGUUUUGUCUUGCAAAUCUAUACUAGUACAAUAGUUUUAAACAAAAUUAAACAUUAAAAUAAAUGUUUGAAAAAGAACAAAAGUACAUUUAUCACUUGCAGUAAUGUAACAAAAUUUUCUCAACCAUUAUCAAUAUUUUCACAAAAGUAUUAAAAACUAGCAAUUGACAAUAUUAAAAACUAGCAAUUUAAUUAGUGACGACUUUUCUUGUCAUUAUAAUCUUGAAUAAAUUAUAACAUUAUGUCAUCACUAAAUUUUCUUUGAUUUUGACUUAACAAUAAUGUCUUAUUAAUAGCAUUUGAUUAUUUUUAAUGAAAGUCUGUUAUAACCAUAGAAUUUGACUUUCGUUAUUUUCAAUUAAUGAUGUACUUUAGUGCUGCAAUUAUAAAAAAUUGCAGGGCUAAAAUAUUUACAAAUUAUAAAAGUAUAUUUUCACUUAUAUGUAAUUAACAAAUUUUGCCACCUAUAUUGAUGAAAAUUUGUGUUUUUGUACUAAAAAAUAAAGAAUAAUACUAUAGCAAUAAAAUCUAUGCUUCAAACCAAAUUAAAAAUAAAAAAAAAGCAUGAUGAUUGGUCUCAAAUGUUGGGAAAAUGAUUAUUUUUAUUGAAACUAUGUUAUAACCAUAUAAUUUGAGUUUAAUUAUUUUCAAUUACAUGAUGUUCUUUAGUGCUGCAAUUAUAAGAAAUUAGUAUAAAAUAUUAGCAAAUUAUAAAAGUACAUUUUCAAUUAUAUGAAAUUAACAAAUUUUGCCACCUAUGUUGAUGAAAAUUUUUAUUUUUUGCUAAAAAAUAAAGAAUAAUACUAUAGCAUUAAAAUCUAUGGUUCAAACCAUAUUACAAAUCCAGAAAAAAACAUGAUUUUUGGUAUCAAAUGGAGGGAAAAUGAGUGAAGUCAAAAUUUUGAUCAAAUCAUAGUGAAAGUGCCGCGCAACAAAAACAAUAUCCAAAGCAAAGCAAAGACCAAAGCAGCGGAACACAUUCUGAAAACAAAAGCAACGGAACACUUGGUCUGAGUUAAAGCAACGGAACACUUGAGCAACACAAACUUUCACCGAGCUGAAACAAACAAGCUUCUGCACUGAGCACAAAACAGAGCUUCCGCACGGCACCUGAUACUUUCACCCACACAACAAAUCCGUUCUCUGGCUUCUCACUAGCAUCACCAUGGCUGUCCAGCAUUAAAGGGCAAGGUUUUCAUUGGAAAGGUUCAUUUUUCUCUCUCCUAUACAUUUUCCCCAAUUUUUCCAAAUCCCUAAUAUUCUACAAUAUUUUUUGCAAAUUUCUGCCCAAAAUCUUUUAGCAGCUCUUGAUUAUUAGAUGCUAUCAUAGCUAUGUUGUUAUUUACUUGAUCAUUUUCUCCAAUUGCUUUAUGGCCCUAAUUUUGAUAAUAGCUUUUGGCAUAUCCUCUAGUUUUCUUCGUCAACCAUAUUAUCACAUCACUAAAUGACUUUCUGAUCUUAGCCGGUGACCACAAUUUCAUUUAGCUAUGGUUUGUUUUUCAAUUUACUUGACCGAGCUCAGGUAGGACAUUAGGAACUAUGAUGAGUCAAUUUCAGGCUAAUUGUAAAGCGCAUAGCCAUCAGUGGAAGCUUUAAGGACUUUCACUAACCUGGAAUUGGAUGUUCUCAUAUUUAGUUCAAAGUCACGUAUUCCUUAAAAGAUAUGAGCAAUUUGAAAACCUGUCUUUCUUGUUAGUAAACUGAUUAUGCUCAAAGUCCCCUUUUUCCUCAAGAUACUCCAGAUUCUAAGUUUGUUAAAAGGAGAUGCUAAAUUUAUCUUUAAUGGAUGUUAAAGAGGCUGGUGGAGAAGGUCUAUGCCUUGUAUUCAAGUUAAAAGGAGAUGCUAAAUUUAUCUUUAGUGGGUGUUAAAGAGGCUGGUGGAGAAGGUCUAUGCCUUGUAUUCAAGUCCAUAAUUAGAGUAAAAUCUCGUUUCUUUCACUUUCAUUUUGCAUCAUCCUUGGAUAUGGUUUAUGUGGUUCCUCAACCACUAACGAAAUGCAUAUUGUAACUCUUACCCACUUUACCUUUUAAUGUAACUACUUGUCACCCGUAGUCAUAUUGAAUAAUCUAUUCUACUAUCUCUUUUGUUCAGUUAGAGCAACAAAUAGUGGCAGCUGGUGGCAUGAUACCCGUAAUUCCAUAAGUACCUCCACUUAGCCUACUUGCAAGAAGGGUAAGCUGCGUUGUCAUGUAAUCUGGCCCCCUGGUUAGAGGUUGAUAAAGAAGGUGCCCUGACUAUCAGACAAAGAUAAAUUGCUUCAGAAAUUAGAAAUUCUAUCAGCAAUGGAUUCUGCUUUUUGCCCAAAAAAGAAAAAAAAAACUGGAUUCUGCCUUCUAAUGUUCCACUGAAAUUUGGUUUAAGUAAGCUUUUGAUGUUCCAUUUUCCCUUC